UGUGUCACUCUGAGUCCUCCAGCAUGGGGUGUGUCAGAUUGCCCUUCCUUACAUUUAUAGCAAAGAUAAAAAGAGAACCCACAGGGCUGUGGUUGUAGCUCGGUGGUAGAGUGCCUGCCUAGCAAGUGUGAGGCACUGGGUUUGAUCCUCAGCGCCACAUAAAAUAAAUAGACAUAAUACCUUUGUACUUUGUCUUAGCUUUAAAAAAAAAACUAUAACUGAAAAUUUUUUUAGAAGUGUUGGGGUUGUUGCUCCCUGGUCGAGCGGUUGCCUGGCAUGCGUGAGGCACUGGGUUCGAUCCUUAGCACCACAUGAAAACAAAAUAAAGGUAUUGUGUCCACCUACAACUAAAAAUAAAAUAUUAAAAAAAAACAAACCCAAAACUUAAAAGAAGUAUUUGAUACAGGUUGUCUCUUCUCCUCUUGAUAUAUUGCUUAAGGAAGGUUUUAAGAAAAACCAGGCAUCCCCAAAACUUGCCUGAGUAAUUAAUUGUCUUAGUCCAUUUUCCUUGGAGUUUGUUGUAGCUAUUGCCUUCUUUUUUUAUAUUCUGCUUUCUUCAAGGGCUAUGUUUCCCAGUGUCUUCUGUGUUCUUGAGGAUUUCUUCUCACUCUCCAGUAUGGGAGCAACCACCUGCCAUGUCUCUGGAUCUGUGAGACUAAGCUGAGGGUAGCGGGUUCUGGCAAAUUGCUAAUAUUGAUUUGGUCAUUUUAGGCUAUGCUUUUGGAAUUUUUUCAUUUAAGGGUUGUUACUUAAGUGGCUAUAGCUGAGUUGCAAAAUUCCCACCAUAUAUCCUUACCUACACACUUGUAGGAUUUACCUGUUGUUUUUUUUGUUGUUGUUGUUUGUUUUUAAAUGCCAGGUUGCUUAACCACUGAGCCACAUCCCCAGCCCUUUUUAUAUUUUUAUUUGGAGACAGGGUCUUGCUGAGUUGCUCAGGGCCUCAGCCUCCCAAACUGC
rnacentral:lncRNA from 1 species